rnacentral:lncRNA from 1 species
GGUGGUUAGAAAGAAGAAAUCGAUGAUGACCCAUACACACGACCUUCCUACAGUGUUUCAAAUAGAUGUUGUCUGUGUCAUCUAAACAGUGGGUACAGCUCUGAUAUCCCUUGUUUGUCUGUCCUAAAAAGUUACUCAAUGCAGGCUAAUCAUUGAUGGUUAUGAACAACAAUGCUUGUAGGUCAAAGAUCUCUUGUUUAUCCUCAUCCCAUACAUAUACACCUUCUUCCUUCUAGAGCAGUAAAAG